rnacentral:rRNA from 1 species
CGGGGCGGGGUGCUAAUACAUGCAGUCGAGCGGACAGAUGGGAGCUUGCUCCCUGAUGUUAGCGGCGGACGGGUGAGUAACACGUGGGUAACCUGCCUGUAAGACUGGGAUAACUCCGGGAAACCGGGGCUAAUACCGGAUGGUUGUUUGAACCGCAUGGUUCAGACAUAAAAGGUGGCUUCGGCUACCACUUACAGAUGGACCCGCGGCGCAUUAGCUAGUUGGUGAGGUAACGGCUCACCAAGGCAACGAUGCGUAGCCGACCUGAGAGGGUGAUCGGCCACACUGGGACUGAGACACGGCCCAGACUCCUACGGGAGGCAGCAGUAGGGAAUCUUCCGCAAUGGACGAAAGUCUGACGGAGCAACGCCGCGUGAGUGAUGAAGGUUUUCGGAUCGUAAAGCUCUGUUGUUAGGGAAGAACAAGUGCCGUUCAAAUAGGGCGGCACCUUGACGGUACCUAACCAGAAAGCCACGGCUAACUACGUGCCAGCAGCCGCGGUAAUACGUAGGUGGCAAGCGUUGUCCGGAAUUAUUGGGCGUAAAGGGCUCGCAGGCGGUUUCUUAAGUCUGAUGUGAAAGCCCCCGGCUCAACCGGGGAGGGUCAUUGGAAACUGGGGAACUUGAGUGCAGAAGAGGAGAGUGGAAUUCCACGUGUAGCGGUGAAAUGCGUAGAGAUGUGGAGGAACACCAGUGGCGAAGGCGACUCUCUGGUCUGUAACUGACGCUGAGGAGCGAAAGCGUGGGGAGCGAACAGGAUUAGAUACCCUGGUAGUCCACGCCGUAAACGAUGAGUGCUAAGUGUUAGGGGGUUUCCGCCCCUUAGUGCUGCAGCUAACGCAUUAAGCACUCCGCCUGGGGAGUACGGUCGCAAGACUGAAACUCAAAGGAAUUGACGGGGGCCCGCACAAGCGGUGGAGCAUGUGGUUUAAUUCAAAGCAACGCGAAGAAACCUUACCAGGUCUUGACAUCCUCUGACAAUCCUAGAGAUAGGACCUCCCCUUCGGGGGCAAAGUGACAGGUGGGGCAUGGUUGUCGUCAGCUCCUGUCGGGAGAUGUUGGGGUAAGUCCCGCAACGAGAGCAACCCUUGAUCUUAGUUGCCAGCAUUCAGUUGGGCACUCUAAGGAGGACUGGCCGGGGACAAACCGGAGGAAAGGGGGGGA